AAUGAACGUUGGCGGCAUGGAUUAGGCAUGCAAGUCGAGCGAGAAGUGUAGCAAUACACGGAAAGCGGCGGAAGGGAGAGUAAUACGUGGGAAUCUGCCCUUAGACCUGGGAUAGCAGCGGGAAACUGCUGGUAAUACCAGAUAAUGUCUAUGGACCAAAGGUGUGAUUCCGUCUAGGGAUGAGCCCACGUCCUAUUAGCUAGUUGGUAGGGUAAUGGCCUACCAAGGCGAUGAUGGGUAGCGGGUGUGAGAGCAUGACCCGCCUCACUGGGAAUGAGACACUGCCCAGACACCGACGGGUGGCUGCAGUCGAGAAUAUUCGGCAAUGGGCGCAAGCCUGACCGAGCGAUGCCGCGUGCGGGAUGAAGGCCUUCGGGUUGUAAACCGCUGUCGAGGGGGAGCAACUUCCAUAGAGUUAUCUUUAUGGAUUGAGUGAUCCCUGGAGGAAGGACGGGCUAAGUUCGUGCCAGCCGCCGCGGUAAAAC
rnacentral:rRNA from 1 species